rnacentral:lncRNA from 10 species
CCGGGACACAUGGUGAGACCCUGAAUCUGUUAAAAAAAAAAAUACAAAAAAUUAGUCCGGCAUGGUGAUGCAUGCCUGUAGUCCCAGCUCCUCAAGAACCUGAAGUGGGAGGAUCGCUUGAGCCCAGGAGGUCAAGGCUGCUGUGAGCUGAGAUUGCACCACUGCACUCUAGCCUCAGAGACACAGUGAGACCCUGUCUCAAAAAGGGGUGGGGCACUAUAUUUUAAUGAAUAUGCAGAUAACAGAAAUAUGAAAAGUGGACUGCAGGAGGCAGGAGAUGAGGAGCUGAUGGGGUGGGGGAAGGUUUGAGAGACCGGGUGUUGUUUAAGGGCCGGUAUGAACAGCAGGAUGUAACCAGCUUGCUUCUGUGCUCAGAAGUUAGGGGAGGAGGAUGGAGGGGAAGGAGGGAAGGAGUUGAGGUCUUAAGAAGGCAACUUCUGGGCAAUCUUCCAUUGUGAGGUGGGGUCCACGUCCCCACAACCCACGAACUUGGGUGGCCGUGCGGCAUGUGGCAAACCUGAGGGGUGACUCCAAGAUGCUUCACUCUGUGUGCUGGACCGGGAGGCUGCCCCUGGCAGCUGAGCCUGCAGGCGCUCUGGCCAACCACCCGGGGUGAGCCCAGCCAUUCCUGCCGAGGGUGCACUGGCUUGGGGCAGAAGUCUCUGGAUGGCUCCAGCCUGUCCCGCGGAGCCGGCCCCACCACUCACGUCUUCCCACCGGAGGCCAGCACCUCGAGGAGCAGAGAGGAGCUGUCCCCGAGUGCCCUGAGUUCCUGACCCACAGGACACAGGAACACAGGAACGCUGCUGUUGGACAGCACUGAAGCUGGGCGGUUUGCUACACACCCAGAGACAGCUGAGCAGACAGAGGGAGAAGAGUAGGGUCACGCUGGCAGCUGGACAAGGGAAGUACUGGGGGGACAGAGGGACUGGCAGGGGUUGGUGCAGACCAGGUGAGAAAGGGCACGAAGUGGGACAAGGUCCCGGUGAGAGGCACGACACUGUCACCUGCCUCAGGCCGCGCUCGGUGGGGCGGGGGCCACCAGCUGAGGCCCCUCCUGCCGCCCAGACAGCUCGGCCCCCUGCGGCCCCAGCCCUGCAGGCUGAGAUCCCGCAACGACUCCCA